rnacentral:rRNA from 1 species
UUGCAGGAAUGAGAGUUAAUAUAAUAAGUUAUUAACUUGCUUGACUAGGUUCAGCACCACUUAUAAAGUUCUGGAUAAAGCUUAUUAUGAAAACUUUAUAUCCAUAGGUCUCGACCAAAUCUUGUGCCAGCAGUCGCGGUAAGACAAGGGAGACGAGUGUUAUUCAUCUUUAACAGGUAUAUAGGGUACCUAGACGGUGUGCAAUGGCUUAAAUAAGUACCUGGUACACUUGAGUUUGAUAUGUGAGAGGAAUAUGUCGGAAUUGUUGGAGGAAAGAUGAAAUUUGUUAAUACCAAUAGGACUGAUAACGGCGAAGGCAAACCUCUAUGUACAUGUACUUGCUAUUUCUGAAAAAAAAAGAAAUUUCUCGUAUAAAAGAUAUCAGAUAGAUAAAGAGGAAAAGAGCAAUGUACUAUAACUGACGUUGAGGGACGAAGGCUCAGAGAGUGAAGAGGAUUAGAUACCCCCGUAACCUGGGCAGACAAUGAUGAGUGCCAUAGGUUGGCUUUAAGGCGGAACUAUAAAUGAAAGUGGAAGCACUCCACC